UACGUAGGGUGCGAGCGUUAAUCGGAAUUACUGGGCGUAAAGCGUGCGCAGGCGGUUCGUUGUGUCGGCGGUGAAAGCCCGGGCUCAACCUGGGAAUGGCCGUUGAAACUGGCGAACUGGAGUGUGGCAGAGGGGGGUGGAAUUCCGCGUGUAGCAGUGAAAUGCGUAGAGAAUGCGGAGGAACACCGAUGGCGAAGGCAGCCCCUGGGCUGACACUGACGCUCAGGCACGAAAGCGU
rnacentral:rRNA from 1 species